rnacentral:misc_RNA from 1 species
GGCACGUUGGGAAGUAGUAAUUACAUUUCUAUCCUGAUUGUGCGAUUGAUUAGGAGUGUGAAUAUUUUGUUCCUUUUAGGAUCACUUUUCCUCCCUUAUGAUUUUAAGAAAACUUUGGGCUGAUUGGUAUAUGUAUUGUACCACUAGUAUUGUUUGACCUUAUUUAUGUAUGACAACUUAUUUUACCUAAAAUUGAUUUGUUUACAUACGCUUCAUUGUAACACAGGGAAGCACUUCCACGCAUUUUUGUGGAUUCUUGGCAUUAAUUUUUUUGUUACAAAUUGUUUGCAAUAAGUCUUAUUUGGUGACAAUGUACAUUAUUAUUUUCUUCUUAUUAUUAUUAUUGGUGAUUAUUCUGAAUUUCUUUAUCAGAAACCCUCAUAAAGCCAGUAACUAAGGCUCUAACGUCAUAGAGGAACCAAUUUUGUAAAUAGUUGAAGCAUGCAGAAAAUGAAAACAGCAUGCCUGGGUAAUCUUUCAUUAUUUGCAGCAAAACCCAGAAGAGCCACAGCCAGGUAGGAGUGAUUCUGCCCCAUCAAAGAGAGGGAAGAAGAAUAUGAAAAAAGGAGGAAAACAAAGCAUUCUUCUCGUUAACGGCAAGUCUGACAUCAACACUUCCAGUGGAGAUUCUUCAAGAUCUCCAUCUGCAGGUAUAUAAAAUUUGCCACCAAACCGUGCUUCAAUAUCAGGGUCGGGGGCGUAAGAUGAAGUUAGUGGUAUAGCGAGGUAGUCAGUAGUUCCCUUAGUAUUAGAGCGAUAGCGUCAGGGUGUGCAGAUACUAACGUAAGACCAAAUUUUCUCCUUUAUUAAGCAGACAAGUUUGGGAUCUACCAGACAUUGCUGAGAUACCUACUGCCCCGCCACUUUCCCCGCAGUCGGCAGUGCCACAAAACACCACUCCCGACGACAACACGGAGCCUCGUCCCAUCCAGCGGACAAGGUAUCGCGGCUAUCAGCUGGAACUGCUGGAGGGCGAGUUCUCUAGGAACACCCGCCCCUCGUGGGAUGUCCUAGAACUCGCCCGAGAGACGGGGCUAACCGACGAGCAAGUGCGGGAGGCAAGACGUCAUAAAUGCAUUCAGAAGACAAGCUCAAGCUCUGGCCACAUGGAGCUACAUAAUGUAUGUUAUGAGUUUUUAAAGUAAUUCAAUGCUUCUAAUCUGAGAGAGCCAACCCCUCCCCAAGACACAGGUACAGCUGGUUCCCAGUAGAGCCAGCAGAAAAGGUAAACCAUCAUAUAGCCAGUAACUAAGGCUCUAACGUCAUAGAGAAACCAAUUUUGUACAGGAAAAAUAGACUAAUUAGAGCGAUAGCGUCAGGGUGAAUCUUCGUUCAUCAUCAUCACCAAAAUAAAUCAAUCAUAAUCAUCAUCACCAUCAUCAUCAUGCACGAGGGUAUGCUCUUUUAACCUCCUCCCAGGUAUGCAUUUUUCCACAAUGUUUAUUUUUACAAUGGGAUAUUUAUUAGCAAUAUAUAGGGGGAAGUAUUUAUAUAAUUAUAAUAAACACGUUAUUUCAAUGGUCUGCCACCAGUGACACUAACAUAACCAGGUAGGGCUGUAGGAAGUCCUUUUUUUUUUUUGCUUUUCGCUUUUCUUUAUAACUCUGUGUGUGUGUGUGUAUACGAUUUUUUAAAAUUAUUAGCAGAUAUUCAAAGAUGACCCAUGUCCCAAGGGGAGUGAUCCUCCUAAUGAUCCCCAAGGGGGGGAAGAGAUGGAAAAGGAGGAAAGACCAAAAUAAGCAGUUCUUUUCUCUUAUGAGAUCCCUGGCGGAUGGUCUGCGAGUGGACAUCCUUUGGGAUCUCCACAUGAAAAUCCACAAGAUUGGUUACGAAACAGUAAUGAAAUAUACAGAAUUAACUCCCCAGUGAGCCAACGGCCCCUCCCCAAAACACAAGUCCUCCAAGUUCAGCUGGUUCGAAAUAGAGCCAUGAUAAAGCCAGUAACUAAGGCUCUAACGUCAUAGAGAAACCAAUUUUGUAAAGGAAAAAUAGACUAAUUAGAGCGAUAGCGUCAGGGUGUGCAGAUACUAACGUAAGACCAAAUUAUCUCUUUUAUUAAACAGAAAAGAUAUUAGGGAAUAUGACAAGCCAUCGACCUCAUCACGUCGCCCUCCGUCCCCUGACUUCAGUGUUGUUGACCUCCUUCUGUGCAUGAUGAUAUUUGUAAGCAAACAUGUCUGAAAUGGAAGGGUGCUGAUUCCUUAGGAUUGUGGAAUAGGGAAUAUAUGUGUUAAUCAUAUAUCGACAACGACGACGACUAUUAUUAUCAUUAUUAUUAUAUAGCACUACAAAUGUAUCCUCUCACAGGACAGCGAGCUCAAAGAAUUUUAUAAAAGCGAACGACUCAAAGAGACACCUAUUAACACUGUGCGCUCUGGUUCUACCUUACAGGUGUCGUUCAAAAACCGGCGGAAGAAGUGGCGGCAGAAGCAGAGAUUACGAAACCCUCCCCUCCUCCCAUCAUCAUCAUCAAUCAUCAACAAUCAUCAUCAAUCAUCAUCAUCAUCAUUAUCAUCAUCUACCUAACGAGAAUACUGAAUUUUUACACCAGCACUUUUUUUUUUUUUGCUGUGGAUUCUGUUUGGCUGUUUACUGCAAUUGUAGGUUUCUUAGAGCUUCAACUGCUAGAAACAAGACAUGUUUAUCUUUGAUAUUAAUGCAAUUAUUGUAACUUUGUAAGUAUAUACUUUGUGUGUUUUGUCUAAAAGCUGCAAUGUGCGUGCGUGCGUGCGUGCGUGCGUGCGUGCGUGCGUGCGUGCGAUUUUUUAAAAUUAUUAGCAGAUAUUCAAAGAUGACCCAUGUCCCAAAGGGAGUGAUCCUCCUAAUGAUCCCCAAGGGGGGGAAGAGAUGGAAAAGGAGGAAAGACCAAAAUAAGCAGUUCUUUUCUCUUAUGAGAUCCCCGGCGGAUGGUCUGCGAGUGGACAUCCUUUGGGAUCUCCACAUGAAAAUCCACAAGAUUGGUUACGAAACAGUAAUGAAAUAUACAGAAUUAACUCCCCAGUGAGCCAACGGCCCCUCCCCAAAACACAAGUCCUCCAAGUUCAGCUGGUUCGAAAUAGAGCCAUGAUAAAGCCAGUAACUAAGGCUCUAACGUCAUAGAGAAACCAAUUUUGUAAAGGAAAAAUAGACUAAUUAGAGCGAUGCGUCAGGGUGUUAGAUACUAACAUAAGACCAAAUGUUCUCCUUUAUUAAGCAGACAACUUUGGGAUCUACCAGACAUUGCUGAGAUACCUACGGCCCCGCCACUUUCCCCGCAGUCGGCAGUGCCACGUGAGUACUUUAACAGGUUCUGGAGUGAGUUAGUUUUAUCACCAUCUUUUGUGUAAACGUCUUCCCUGACUUAUUUUGCAGGUGGGUGGGUGGAAUGGCGGUUAGAUGGAGGUAGGAUGGAUGGGCCGGGUAGAACAUGAGAGUUCGCUAAUUAGCACGCACGAUCGUGCUUGAAAGCUUUUAAUCGGUCACAAGUGGAUGAACACAUGAGAGGGGAAACACGCAUACCCAAAGAGAAAUGGUGCCCCUUCUUACCAUGCAUGACAAAAGUGUGCAUGCGUGUGACUGAACGAGUGUCUUUAAGUGGCAUCUAAUUACAUCUCAUUCAUCGACACACACAUUCUGACGGCUUGUCUGCCCCUGCUUGUUGCAGAAAACACCACUCCUGACGACAACACGGAGCCUCGUCCCAUCCAGCGGACAAGGUAUCGCGGCUAUCAGCUGGAACUGCUGGAGGGCGAGUUCUCUAGGAACACCCGCCCCUCGUGGGAUGUCCUAGAACUCGCCCGAGAGACGGGGCUAACCGACGAGCAAGUGCGGGUAAGCACAGUAAACCGGUUAAAAGACUAGUCCACUAGUUGUUAAGUAAACAGCCCUGACUUCAGUCUUGUUGACCUCCUUCUAUGCAUGAUGAAUAUAUGUGUUAAUCAUAUAUCGACAACGACAACGACGACGACUAUUGCGAACGACUCAAAGAGACACCUGUUAACAAUGUGCGCUAUGGUUCUACCUUCCAAGAGGGGUUUAAAAAUCAGAGAAGAAAGUUGAAUCAGGCGCCUUCCCUCCACUCAUCAGCAUCACCAUCAGCAUCACCAUCAGCACGAUCAUCGUGAGCAUCAUCAUUACCACAUACAGCGCAGGCGGCGUCGUCAUCAUCAUCAAACAACGACGAUACACCUCCAGUAUUCAUCGUCAAUCAGAGAAAUUAUAGAAUCCUCUAUCAGACAUUAAUAUAUCACCAAUCAACAAACAUGAUCAUUAUCCUCAUCGUCGUCGUCGUCGGCGGCGGCGGCGGCGGCGGCGUCGUCUUCAUCAUCAUCAAUUAUCAGAAUUCACGAUCAACCAUCAUCGCUAAUUAUCAGUCAGCAUCAUCAUCAUCAUCAUCAUGCAUGAUACCAGUGUCUCGUCAAUGCCUCGGGUCAAGAGCAUGCCAGGUGUGUAUAUUUUCACAAUGUUUAUUUUUUACAAUGUGUAUUUAUUAGCAAUAUAUAGGGGGGAAGUAUUUAUAUAACUAUAAUAAACACGGUAUUCAUCAGCAGUUGUAACAUGUGUGGUGUGUUCGAGAACUAUAUAUAUAUAUGGAAUUUAUGAAGAAUAUUCUGUAAGUUUUCAUGACCAGCUAUUAUGUAGUAGUAGAGAAUUGUACAUGGCAUUUAUAAGCAGUAAUAUUUGUGUUGGACGGAGUAUACCUGCUUGUGAUGUUAAUUCUCCAUCUUUCUUGCAGCCAUCCACUGCUUGGAGAAACCGGCGGGGGAAGUCGCGGCGAGAACAGAUAAUGAGAAACCCUCCCCUCCUCCUGCACGCUCCUUCCGCACGUGAGACAUCCCCCCGACGGUGUUUUGAACCGGUAACAGAAAUCGUACCCCCUACCAAAUCUACGGACCCCGCCCCAGGUUUGCGACAGAUGUGUUUACUGUUUUGUAAUGCAUUUGCAGAUCAAAAGCGUCUCUUGUGUAGGUUGGACAGAUGCAAAGAUUUGCCUGAAAAGAAUCACGAGGACAAUCUUGAUCGACAAGGUUUCAUAACUGUUAAGGCCAAAGAAGAGAAAAAUGUGCUUUCAAGGGGCUUUCAAAGGUGCAGACCAUGAUAUGCAGUAAGUGAUGAUGUAUAAA